UGUAGGGCUAGAGGUGUUAAAAUAACCAGUUUAAAGGGACUAAUCUGGUGUACUUACAUUGAAAUAUUUACCAUCACGGGGCCUUUGGCUUUACUGUCUCAGGAUAAUGAAGAUAUAUCUCAUACAUUUUGAACAGCAGUAUAAUUACUUCCACCAACACCAGUCAGCGUUUGGGUGAGAGGGCUUUAAAACAGUGCAGCAGAGGAGAAGAAAAGCUAAAUGCUGUUCUGCUAAAUCAGGCACACAGCGAGGAAAACAAGAAUGCAGACCAAGAGGUGAUGAACUUCCAAGGUGUUCCAAAGGGUGGUCUAGGAACCUCCUCAGUACUGAUACAGGAUGGGAUGGACUCAGCGUGUUUUAGACGCCUGUAUUAAGGCUGCUCUGAAACCAGAGCGGGUAACAAAAUGAAGAGUGAGGUGUAUUUUGAUAGAACUAUCAGCCAAGAAGUCUGUCUUCUCUCCCAACAUCACCACUCCAGCCCUUUGUGGUGGUUGCUCUUGAGAGCAGAUUUUGGAUGCAUGAAGUGCUGAUGAUCUUGGCCCUUCCCUCUCCAUCUCUUCUCCAUAAGGUGUGGAUCUCCCAGAAGCUGGAAGAAGAACUGAUGAACAAGAAAGAUCUGAUUCGCUCACUGUGGCUCUGUGACUACAUCCUGUCCUCCACUGCCUUGUUCUGCAAAGCAAAGGACAUACCUAAAGAAACGCAUGUGCCUCGUGCUCAUCAAGCCACAUGGGAAAAGAAGACUGGAGGAGCUGCAGUCAUCAUUGCCCUAUGGGGUUGCUGAAGCUGCAUCACUGAAAGAAGAAAGACACAGAAGAAAUCGGGAGUGAAAGAGAAGCAGGAGGAUGAAGAAGGUGCUGACUCGGAGGGAGCCCCACAGGUCCUUGGAGUGGGUCUGGAUCUACCUGGUCCUUGACUGCAGAGUUGAGCCUGAAGGCAAGUCAGCUGCUGGAGGAUGCUGAGAAGUGCCUCAGAGACCCCCAAAGUGGGAUCACAGGGGAGAGAGGAAGAAGACUGAAGUAGAGGAUAUGGAGGCAUGCCCACUGUACCUGAUCCUGGAUGGAAGCCUGACUUACCAUCAUUCCAAGUUGGCAUUGGUUUCAUUGUAUUUUCAAUAUAUAACAAAGAGUUCUCUCAAAACCCUCCUGAGUUGGUGACCUUGCAUUAGAUCUCCAAGAAGUUGCUUGUUCCUUGAUACCUAAUCAUAUUCCUUGAUUGACUUUCUGUUUUUGUUUUCUCCCAUUGGGUUUUCUUAGGAUGUUCAGAUUCACCUAGGUUAUCUCCUUCAGCUUUCCUCCUUCCUGAAAAGGCUUGAAUUGUUGCUGCCCUUGCUAUAUUUAGAAUGCUUUCAACUGGAUUCUGCACUCAUUUACCUUCAUGCUUUUCAGUUCACACUUUCAUAAAUAAUAAUAAAAGGAAAACAGGACAUUUGUGAUGGGGUAAGAAUUUAUUAGAAAAGUCACUCUGGGAAUGGCAGUGGGGAAGCUCUGCUCUUGAGGGAGCACUCUUCCAGGUCAUAGAAUCGUAGUAUCAUGGAAUGGUUUUGGUUGGAAGGGAUCUUAAAGAUCAUCUAGUUCAGGUGGACCUAAAGGUCCAC